UGUGGCUCUCAUCGAAGCUGCAGCUGCUUCCACAUAGCUACUGUGGUCAAAAAGGAGCCCAGAGUGACAGUUUUCCUUGACGGUCGCUCUUCUGUUUGCUGUAACUGAUCUGCAACAAUUUCAGGAAAAGACAGUU
ensembl:snoRNA